rnacentral:rRNA from 1 species
AUUGAACGCUGGCGGCAGGCCUAACACAUGCAAGUCGAGCGGAGCGGCGGACGGGUGAGUAAUGCCUAGGAAUCUGCCUGGUAGUGGGGGAUAACGUCCGGAAACGGGAGCUUUUACCGCAUACUAUCAGAUGAGCCUAGGUCGGAGUAGCUAGUUGGUGGGGUAAAGGCCUAACAAGGCGACGAUCCGUACCUGGUCUGAGAGGAUGAUCAGUCACACUGGAACUUAGACACGGGCCAGACUCCUACGGGAGGCAGCAGUGGGGAAUAUUGGACAAUGGGCGAAAGCCUGAUCCAGCCAUGCCGCGUGUGUGAAGAAGGUCUUCGGAUUGUAAAGCACUUUAAGUUGGGAGGCGUUACCAACAGAAUAAGCACCGGCUAACUUCGUGCCAGCAGACGCGGUAAUAC